CUUGCGACAGCCGUGUCAGAUGGACAACUGCAGCCCUCCUCAGUUAGACCACGCCUCCGUCAGGUGUACAGGAGGAGGGGAGGCGUCUCGCUGCUCGGUCAGAUGUCACCGUGGUUUCAGUGUGACCGUCCUGAGCGGCAGAGGAAGUCCACCACACCAGAGGGAGACCAAACUGGAGUGUUUCCACGGAUCCUGGGAUCGGAUCGUCAGCUGUCAGCCCGUG